GGUGAGCAGCAGGUUUGAGGGUGCUGUGGGCAAGAUGCAUCUUGGGGUGCUGACGGGCAGUCUGGGCAGCUGAAGGUGUGAGGCCAACACCAGGGAGCCCCUAGGGGAGAACAGAGUUGAGGGGGUCUCUAGGGCUCAAGGUUUGGCUGAGCCACCCCAGCAGCCCCCAUUCUCCUGCUGCCUCACCUGGGCCCCAGGCAGCAGGACCAGCAGCAGCCCCAGAAGGAGGAGGUGUAGGGGGGUGCCACGCACCCUUGAGAGGAAGAGACGUUCAGGUGGUGUCAUGGGGAGAACCUGCAGAGAAAGAGAGAGAGAGACAGUAAGCGGGGCGGGGCACGCUGCGGAAGACGGACCUCCUGCCCUGGGAGACAGCACCCCCCCACCCCUGAGAGAGAGAUCGACAGAGAAGGGGACAAGAUGCAGUCAGAGAAACCCCAAGGGUCCUGCCUCUUACAAUAUGAGCUGUCAAGUUAGAUGCCUACACUUGGUAAAUCUACUCUGUUUUAAGUAAAAAUAACAAGAAGAAACAAAUCUGAAUAUGCUAGCCUAUCUCAGGUCUGGUCAGCUGCUUAUGACCUUGUUCCCCACUGAGCAGACUCACCAUCUGGGCCUUGGCGAGCAGCAGCAUGCAGUGCCGUGUCCCCAUGGCGGUCCUGGUGGGCAGGGUCAGCCCCGAGCCGAAGCAGCAGGCACAGGGCUGGGGCAUCAUGGCGGGCACAGGCCCGGUG